rnacentral:misc_RNA from 1 species
GGGUAACGACUGCAUAGAUUACAUUUCUAACAGUACACAUAUAUAAUCCGAACCUUCUAAACAGCUGUGGAAUACCUCGUUAACAGGUCACCGAACAUGGAACUUUUCACAUAGUAGUAACAGAAAUCAGCCAAAAUGAAGGUCUGAACUAUCUCCGAAAGGAGGGCUGCAGGUCCCCACAGGAGGCUGGUUCCAAAAUGUGAGAGAUAUGCCCCCCGAGUCUCGAUAAACCGAAUUAUCCAAUGUGCACAGCCCAAGAAUCUUGCAAUACCCAAUGCAAACACAUAAUGAGAUGUAAAUGGCUCAAUCAUCUUCGCAUUUUGCAUGAGUUGAAGCUGAGGAAG